UGGCCUUAAAAUUGUUUUCUUACUCAAAUGUACAUACCUAGAUACUACAUUCUUGAUCAUUUGAAAAAUUUGCUGCCUUUUAAUUCUUUUUAAAUUUGUGAGUUCCUCAUUCAUCCUUUUAUUUCCUUAUACUUUUUCCUUGAAAGAAUCUGGAAGUUUGACUGUUGCAUCUCCCUUGGCCUGACAUUGCUGACUGCACACUCGAGGUUCUGUUCAACACACUGCUCUGUCCUGUGAUCGUCCUGUGAAUUGCCAGCUGAAUCCAGAGACUGGCUCAGGCUCAGGAUUGAUCCCUUUGGUCAGACUGCAGGUAACAAGAGGAUUCAGAAUCUGAGAGAUACUGCUUAAAAGGAAAAUGUCCUGGAGGGAUGCCAAACUGCACUCUCAAAGGUUUCGGCUGGAUGUGUGAUAUUGAUGGGGAAACCCAUUUCAGUGUCUCUAAGAAGGGGGUAGUGCUCCUCUUUCCAGGAUGUCUCUGGGGAAUCUAGAGCACCCCAAAGUGUGGUAUGCAUAGAAACAUUGCUGCUUAAGGUCUGAAUAUUUGUUCCUCAUCAAUUCAUGUGUUGAAAUUCUAACCUCUCCUGAAUGGGAUUAGUGCUCUUACACGAGAGGCCUGACAGAGACUCCUCACCCUUCCCACCAUGCGAAGACACAGUGAGAAGGCUCAGUCUAUGAACCAAAAUGUUGACUGUCACCAUUUACUCAAUCUGCUGUCGCCUUGAGCUUGGACUUCCCAGCCUCCAGAACUGUGAGAAAUAAAUUUCUGUUGCUUAUAAGACAACCAGUUUAUGACAUUUCGUUAUAGCAGCCUGAAUGGACUAAGACACCCUUCCCACCAUGUGAAGACAGAGUGAGAAGGUUCGGUCUAUGAACCAAAAACUGACCCUCACCAGUCAUUGAAUCUGCUGGUGCCUUGAUCUUGGACUUCCCAGCCUCCAGAACUGUGAGAAAUAAAUUUCUGUCGUUUAUAAGCCACCUAGUUUAUGAUACUUUGUUAUAGCAGCCUGAAUGGACUGAGACACCCACCUUAAAAAGACAGUACCUCAAAACCAUAAGGCAGGAUAACUGCUAGCCUGAUAUUAAUAGUUUUUAAUUUACUGCUAGCUUCAUUUUGCCAACUGAGUCAGAUAUUUUUUAAAAGUUCUGUUUGCAAUUAUUUUAACUUAGGAGAGGAGAAAAAGAGCAGGCAUCAGCCUGCAUAUGGGAUAUUUCUGAAAGGAUUUUGCUAUGAUUAGCUUGCCCUCAGGGAGAGUAAAAUGUGAGUUAUACAACCAUGCUUAUAUUUAGAUGUUGUUGAUGUUCUGGCUUAUAAUAUAUGAUGAGUUAGAAAUAAUUUUGUACUGAUCAGCCCAACCAGAAAAUAAACAUGCUUUAACUU
rnacentral:lncRNA from 1 species